CAGCGACGUCAGUCGUGGCCUGGCCGUGCCGUGCACAACGCGACGCGCGCCCGACACUUAAUAUAAUAACAACCCGAGGAGCGCGCCCUGACACAUACAUAUAUUUGUAUUUGUGUAUAUAUGUAUCGUGCGUAUAAUACGACGACGACGAGCUUUGUGGAGUGUCACGAUACUGCAACUACUACUACUGUUGUUGUCAUAAUAUUAUAAAUAUAAUAACGUUAAACACGCGUUGUUGUUUCGCGAGGCUUUCGUUGAAUUGACAUCGUCGUCGUUGGACGCAGUGAUUCGACGUGCAAAAAGAAAAAAAAACAAGCGAGCAGCGCUUGAUAUAAAUAAAUAAAUGAAUAUAUGAAUGAAUAAAGCGAAGACGAGUGCGCGAAUCGCUAGAUAUCGUAUAUAUAUCGCGGGUGAACGACUGUGUGCUUCGUUUUUUUGUUUUUUGAGUUUUCUCGGUGUUGGUGUUUGUGCGCGUGUCAGUGGCUAAGCAGGAAUAAUACUACGUUCUACUGUUGUUAUUUUUAAUUUUUCAAUUUACUCAAACACACACGGAAAAUUAGACAAAACAUCUACCUGCGACGGCGAGAGGGCGAGUUGUGUACGCAUUGUGUAUAGCAGACGAAUAAUACACGGUGUGGUGUGUUAAAGGCUCGCGACUCUGCGGGCGCAGGACAUACACACCAUAAAAGCAACGGCAAAGGAUAGAGCGAGGGAGCCAAGAGAGGACGUCGUCGGCAGCAGCAGCAGCGUCGUCUGCUCCUCUGUGCACCCGCGUACAUACAUACAGAUAUUCAGCUUUGCUUUGCUCUCACACACACAUUCGUAGAAACAGGGUGGAAGCGCGCGCGCGAAAUACUCGCGCGCUCAGAGGGAACGACCUUUUUGCCUGUGUCUGUGUGUUAUACGUGCGCGGCUCACUGAAUUCGUGUGUAAAUUGUGCGCGUGUAUAAAUAUAUGAAGAAAAAAAACUGCUCACUGGCAGGUGCAGCAGCGUAUUAUAUAUCUAUAUAGUUGUGUGUAGUGUUUCUCUGUGUGUGCGUGAGUGUGUGUAUCCGUGUGCUUCCGGGGACUUUGCACCUCACUCGGCGGCUCGUAUACAUACACAACAGCAGCGAGCUGCGAAAUUUUCUCACACAAUUCCGUACAGAGAGAAUCGAGUGUGUGUUUGUGUGUGCGUGGAGGUGGGUUGUUUUGUUGAUGACCCAGGAUAACGACGAAGGAAGAGAAUAAGUGCAAAAAAAAGAAUAGAAGAAGAAGGUUUGAACUGACUCGACCGACCCCGAUGUUAUAGUAGUAAUUACGAAAAUAGAAGUCCAAGGUUACUCCCCGCAUAUAAGGGGAGAGAGAGACAGAGAGAUUGACAUAGGCCGCCACCCUCAACACAGUCUCCGUUGCUGCUGUCAUCGCCGUCGCUGCUACGAAAAAAAAAUACGAAAAUAAAAAUAUCAUAACCGUGUGUACAAGGGGAGAGAAGAGACAGAGACUCUCUGCGUAGACGAAAGUCGAAACACACACACAUACACAGCAGCAGAGCAGAGCAGAACGGCAGAGAAAGCGAGAGAGAGGCUGAGAGGGUGAAAGAGCCAGAGCAGGUCUCUGUGGCAUUCAAGCUCUCGCCUGCUGCUGCUGCUGCAAGGGAGAGAGAAGCACGGCGGUGUGGUGGCCGCGCGCGGGGGUCGCGUACUCUCUCGCUCUCUACGGCUGCUGCUGCUGAUCGAUAAGCUCUCCCUCCUCGUAGCGCUCCCACACACACAGAGAAGGAGCUUUCGUGCGUGUGCGUGUGUGUAGUGGCAGCAACAACGGGGGUGGCCGAUGCUGCUGCUGCUGCCGCCACCCGCUGCUGCUACUGCUACUGCUGCUGCGAGAGAGAGUAACGACGUCGUCGUCGUCGUCGUCUCUGGAGCCGUUGCCGCUGUUACCGCCGACAACGCCGCCGCUGUGCUGCAGCAGCGGCAGCAGCCAUGAGGCUCGUAGUCGAUGAUAAUAAUCGACUCGUCCUGGAGGAUACAAUGACAUGCUGCGAUCUUUGCUUAUUGUCGUCUUGAAGACGCUUUUCUGUUUUAUAGAGACACGAGAUUAUUAAAUUUAUCUAGGACUUGCGUGCGUAAAGGGGGUCAUAUCCUUUGCCUUUUUUUGCACCUAACAUGAAAGAACACAAAGAGUCGAAAUCGUCCGAGAUGCAUCAACAACAGCAGCAACAGCAACAAGCCGGCGGCGACACGAGCGGCGGCCCGGUCGUGUUGAAGAGCCUGCUGAAAAAACCCGGCCAGUCGUCGAGGGCCAAGGGCGCCGCCAAGAAUCGCGUCGUCAUCAACGAGAAGAUGAACGAGUUCUUCGCCGCCGAUUACAUAAUCCUCAUCAAGGAGGAGUGCUGCCCGGAUUACGAGGAGGAGUGCGACUGCUGCUGCCAGGAGCACGAGAUGAUACGCCUCGGAAAUUGCAAGGAGUGUCGGGCCGAGCUCGAUCUGCACUUCGAGGACGGCAGCCACGGGCCCGACGACGAAUGCGAGGACGACGAGGACGACGAGGACGAGGACAUGGAGGAGGACGAAGUCGAUGACGAUGGGGAAGACGAUAACGAUAUACAUCAUCAUCGUCAGCAGCAACAGCAACAACAGCAGCAUCACCAUCAUCAUCAGCAGCAGCAACAACAACAGUUGCAACAACAGCAACAGAAUGCCAUGAACAACAAGGCCAGUAGCGAGCAAGAGCAACGCGGCCGAAUCAAUCAGGCGCGCAGGCAGCAGCAGCGCGAGACCCUGAGCCCGCCCGAGGGCUACAAGGAUCUGUGCAUAGCCGCGCAGGCACGCCAGGAGAUGGAGGACGCCAUGGAGGAGGAGGCCGCCGCGGCUGCCCUCGCUCAACAGCAGCAACAGCAGCAGCAGGGCGGCCGGCCCGUCUGCGCCGAGUGCGACUAUUACCAGAGACAGGCUGCCACUGCAGAAUACGUGCGGAGAGUCUUGCACGAGCGGAGUUUAUUAUCCGACUACGCAAGGAGUCGAGGAGUCCCAGAUGUGCCAUCGAACGCCAACAAUGCGGAAGAUCAUCAUCAGCAGCAGCAUCAUCAGCAGCAGCAACCGCCCAGCGUGCCGUUACGCAACAACAGUAUUAAUCACGACGACGCGACGAGCAGCAGUCAUCAUCAGCAGCAGCAGCAGCAGCAGCAGCAGCAGAUGCACGAUAGUUGGCGCACGACGUCGCAAGACUCCACGGCUACGGAGGACUCGUCGUCGCUCCAAGGGCCGAUCGAUCAGAAUCAACAAACUACCCCAGACGUUCAGCAGCGUUACCUCGUGGAGACGAUCACGAUGACGACCGUGACGGAGCGUCGGAUCGUCCGCGAGAUCAGCGAGGAGGACAGCAAUCGCGUCGGCAGCCUCGAGGACUCGACGACGGCGAGCGACGGCACGAGUCGCCAGCCCUCGAUCGAGUCGCAAAAGUCCAUGGACGACUCGAAGGCGAGCAACGGCGGCCAAUCGAACGGUGGCGACUCGUCCAAAUCCUCGGACGACUCGUCCUCGGACAAGGACAAGCCGUCGGAUCUGUCGCUAGCGGUGAAGAUCGGCAGCGUCAACACCCUCGUCUCGAACAGCCUCAAGCCGAACUCGGCGGUGCGUCAGCUGUUCCCGGAUCCGCGCUUCAUCUCACCGCCGCCCGCGCCCGUCAAGAGCCUGUCCGCGGAUCUCGAGGACGCCCAGCUCGAGGACACGGUGGACGGCAAGUUCCUCGUGACCGCGGAGAGCCUCAAGCUCUUCGACGCCGUCAAGCGCACCAAGAUGGGCUCGAGCGGGCGCAGCGAGUCCUGCGACGUGGGCGGCGACUCGCAGUCGUCCAGCACCAGCAUCAAGCGCACCAUCGAGCGCAACGCCCUGCGGCGCAGCCUCAACUGCAAGUACGACUCGCUGCGACGCAAGAAUCUGCGCAGCAAGGAUCUGACCCUGGAGGAGAGGAUCAGGCAGCUGACCUGCGUGGACGACAACGAGACGGACAACGGUAGUGCCACGGAUACGACGAGCGGUGGCGGCGGAGGAAAUAAUCUAGCGAGCCUCGAGAACAACAACACGGGCCGCAUAACCCACCUGAAUCACAAUCACCAGCAUCACAAUCACAAUCAUCACGUGAUCAUGAACGGGGUCGGUGGCAUGAUUAACAACAUGAUGGAGGGCGUGGACCAUCUGCAUCUGCCGAUGCAGCUGCCAACGCGUACGUCGCCGUCGGGCGAGGAACGACCCAACAAAGGUCAUGUCAUGAUGCAGCAGCAGCAUCAGCAACAACAGCAACAGCAGCAGCAACCGCACCAUCAUCACCAUCACAAUCAUCACGGCACGUCGUCGUCGUCGGCCUAUCGGCGCAUCACCGAGAUGUUCGGCGGCCAGAAGAAAAACUCGUCGUCCGCGAACAACAGCGAUCUGAAUCUGCCCGACAUCAGCAAGCAGGUCGCCAGCUGCAACAAACAACAGCAGUCCAACAGCAACAACAAAGCCAACAAGCAGUUCCUCGCCAGUCUCGCGCCCCUGUCCUGCGUCUCGGCCAACAGCAUGGACGGCCGCGAGGACUACUACCAGCGGCUGCCCGUUCGCAUGCAGCAGCACCAGCAGCAUCAGCAUCAGCACCAGCACCAACAGCAACAGCAGCCGGGCGAUCGCAACUCCAUCUCGCACAACUCGGACUCGUCCUACAGCCUCGAGGACAUCGAGGACGCCCUCAACGACGGGAUCCCGGCGCCGCCCGACGUCACCCGAGGCACACCGACGUCGGCUGGCCCGUCGAUGGAGGCUUUCGGUGGCGCCGGGGCCGGUGGCAACGACGCCAGCGACGAGCUGCAGGCCUUCGUGGAGCAGGACAAGUCGAGAAUCGAGCGGAUCAAGCGACGCUACGAGUCCGAGGACAGUCGUGCUAAUAGCUCCUCCGAGCAGCAGCACGACAACAGCAAAAACAAGAGCAGCACGACCGAGGACGACGACGAGGACGACGAGCUCAACGAUUACGGCUUCAAUCGACGGCCCUCGGUGCGCGGCAUCAAGGCCCAGUUCAAGACGACCAACGAGAUCGUGCACCAGCUGAGGACGCGUAGUGCCGCCGCCAACUCGCUGCCCGAGGCCUGUCGUUUGGGCUUCCCCGGUGGAAACCAACAGCAGCAGCAGCAGCAGGACGACGCGAUGAGCACCUCGUCGGCGGCCUCGGACAUCUACCGGGUGACCUACACCAACGACGUGCACGCCGACCCCUCGACCAUCACGCGCAUCAACAACAUGCAGAAGCAGAUCAACGAGAUCUACCAGAGCAUCGCCGAGAGCAGCAUCAGCAGCGUGCUGCUCGAGCAGCAGAAGCAGAUGGCCGGGGCCGGGCCCAUACCGUAUCUCGACGGCACCCUGCCGCGCACCAUGAGCGCCUCGACGCAGGCCGCGAUCGAUCAUCGCAACAACGUCGCCGCCGCGGCUGCUGCCGGUGGAGGCGGCGGCGGUACGAUGCUGAAUCAGGCGCGAAUGCUGCGCAUCGCCGGCGGUGGCGAGGUGCUGCCCGCCUCGAGCACGCCCCCGGGCGUCUACAGCACCCUGCCCAAGGCGCAUCGGGCCCAUCCGGGCCAGAUUCAGACGUCGUACGCCGCGGCGGGCACCUACUCGUGCAUCGUGCCCCAGGCUCAGGCCGCGAUCAACAACGGCCAGGCGGGGGCUCAAGCCGCGGCAGCGGGUUCCAAGUGCUACAGGACCAUGUACGUCGUUCCGUACAACGGCAACGCUCCGCAAGAUCCGACCUAUCAGAAUCUGCAGAGGAUCGGCAUGACUCAGCAGCAGCAGCAGCAACAGCAGGCAAUCGGUUAUUCCGAGCAACAGCAGCAGCAGCUCGAGAGGUAUCCUUACGCGAGGAACGGCAGGAUCGAGGCACCGACGUCGCAGCAACAGCAACAGCUACAGCAGCAGCAGAGAUAUUACGUGUCCAAUAACAGGCCAGCGACGAUACCGAGAUGUAGUCACGGCCAUAUAGUCGAUUGGCCCGUUACGGAAAGUCAGAUGUAUUGAUGAGAAUUAAGAAAGAGAGAAAAUUACGCGGGAGAAAAAGAGGGAAGGGUAUUAUAGACACUGAUGAUAAAUGAACACUCAAACUACGUCAGCGGCGCUUCACCUUCACCUCCAUCAAGCCGAGGAGUUUCAAGUCUCGUCUUCCGCGGCCACCGGUCG
rnacentral:misc_RNA from 1 species